ensembl:lncRNA
AAAAAUACAUUCUCUCACUCACACACACUCACACAAACACACUAGAUAUAUCAGGCACUUGGUGGCUACAGUUGAAACUCAGGACCUGACAUUCACAAUAUAAAAAAAGCUGUUUGGCAAAGGACACAUUUGGUCAAACAUGAAGUUAUAUACCAUUCAGUGGCUGGUUGGUCGUGUGCAAUUUCAACAAUGAGCAGUUUAAUUAUAUGUCUACAUACAAAAUAUAAUAUGAAGUCAGCAUAACACAGCUUGAAGUCUUUUACCAAGAGCGCAAGCUGCUGCAAAAUACCAAAUAAGAGAAAUGCUAGUUCAGUCACACCAGUAUAGACAUGCAGUAUGCAACUGCACAUGCACCUGCAAGGCUAUACAUCUAAUCUGCCUGCUGGCUCCCUCUGGUAGAUACUACCAGAAAAGAUUUCCUUUUUUACGGUUUUGUCACACUGCAUGUCAUGUAUUAUCAUAAAUAACAUCACAGUUGUGUUCCCAUAUGCCAAUUCUCAGCCUUCUCACUAGAACUGUCAUCAUACAUCAUACAACAUAUAAUCUAUGUUGUAAAUACUUUUGUAUGUUAUGUGAUAUUAUGUGCAGCAUUAUAUCUAUAAUACUAUAUAUCUCUUAAUCAAGGCUGGAUUAGGUCUUUUGCUUUUUCCCAUAGGAAGGAGAAGCUACUCCUAUGUUCUUUGGUGGUCGUCCUCUCUUUUUCCCAUAGGAAGGAGAAGCUACUCCUAUGUUCUUUGGUGGUCGUCCUCUCUUUUUCUUUUGAGCUUGUGGAGGAACAGCGCCCCCUGGAGGGGAGACAGGAGGGGAGGGGUGCUGUGGUAGGCCUGCUGAUGGAGGAGUGGCGGUCGGUGUGACGGUGGUGGUCGGUGUGACGGUGGUGGUCGAACUAGGGAAGGUGCUGGCUACGACAGACAACGCGCUGGCUAGCGUUUGCACAGGAUCCACAAGAGCAGCUUCCGCGGAGCCGCGAUGCUCGAGCGAAGCCCCCGGUGGAGCGCAGCACUGUCCCAGCGGUCCGGCGGACUUCAUGCCC